rnacentral:rRNA from 1 species
UGGGGGAUAUUGCACAAUGGGCGAAAGCCUGAUGCAGCGACGCCGCGUGGGGGAUGAAGGCCUUCGGGUUGUAAACUUCUUUUGCUCUGAACAAGGCAUGCCUUUGGGGUGUGUUGAGUGUAGGGGUUGAUUAGCGCCGGCUAACUACGUGCCAGCAGCCGCGGUAAUACGUAGGGCGCGAGCGUUGUCCGGAAUUAUUGGGCGUAAAGGGCUUGUAGGUGGCUGGUUGCGUCUGUCGUGAAAGCUCAUGGCUUAACUGUGGGUUUGCGGUGGGUACGGGCUGGCUUGAGUGCAGUAGGGGAGGCUGGAAUUCCUGGUGUAGCGGUGGAAUGCGCAGAUAUCAGGAGGAAUACCGGAGGCGAAGGCGGGUCUCUGGGCUGUUACUGACGCUGAGGAGCGAAAGCGUGGGGAGCGAACAGG